rnacentral:rRNA from 1 species
GCAUAUCAAUAAGCGGAGGAAAAGAAACCAACAGGGAUUGCCCUAGUAACGGCGAGUGAAGCGGCAACAGCUCAAAUUUGAAAGCUGGCCUUCGGGUCCGCAUUGUAAUUUGUAGAGGAUGCUUUGGGUGAAACGCCAGUCUAAGUUCCUUGGAACAGGACGUCAUAGAGGGUGAGAAUCCCGUAUGUGACUGGAAAUGUUAACCUAUGUAAAGCUCCUUCGACGAGUCGAGUUGUUUGGGAAUGCAGCUCUAAAUGGGAGGUAAAUUUCUUCUAAAGCUAAAUAUUGGCGAGAGACCGAUAGCGCACAAGUAGAGUGAUCGAAAGAUGAAAAGCACUUUGGAAAGAGAGUUAAAAAGCACGUGAAAUUGUUGAAAGGGAAGCGCUUGCAAUCAGACUUGUUUAAACUGUUCGGCCGGUCUUCUGACCGGUUUACUCAGUUUGGACAGGCCAGCAUCAGUUUCGGCGGCCGGAUAAAGGCUCUGGGAAUGUGGCCUUCACUUCGGUGAAGGUGUUAUAGCCCGGGGUGUAAUACGGCCAGCCGGGACUGAGGUCCGCGCUUCGGCUAGGAUGCUGGCGUAAUGGUUGUAAGCGACCCGUCUUGAAACACGGACC